rnacentral:rRNA from 1 species
GUUGCAGGGUAUAGACCCGAAACCCGGUGAUCUAGCCAUGGGCAGGUUGAAGGUUGGGUAACACUAACUGGAGGACCGAACCGACUAAUGUUGAAAAAUUAGCGGAUGACUUGUGGCUGGGGGUGAAAGGCCAAUCAAACCGGGAGAUAGCUGGUUCUCCCCGAAAGCUAUUUAGGUAGCGCCUCGUGAACUCAUCUUCGGGGGUAGAGCACUGUUUCGGCUAGGGGGUCAUCCCGACUUACCAACCCGAUGCAAACUGCGAAUACCGAAGAAUGUUAUCACGGGAGACACUCGGCGGGUGCUAACGUCCGUCGUGAAGAGGGAAACAACCCAGACCGCCAGCUAAGGUCCCAAAGUCAUGGUUAAGUGGGAAACGAUGUGGGAAGGCACAGACAGCCAGGAUGUUGGCUUAGAAGCAGCCAUCAUUUAAAGAAAGCGUAAUAGCUCACUGGUCGAGUCGGCCUGCGCGGAAGAUGUAACGGGGCUAAACCAUGCACCGAAGCUGCGGCAGCGACACUAUGUGUUGUUGGGUAGGGGAGCGUUCUGUAAGCCGUUGAAGGUGUAUCGUGAGGUAUGCUGGAGGUGUCAGAAGUGCGAAUGCUGACAUAAGUAACGAUAAUGCGGGUGAAAAACCCGCACGCCGGAAGACCAAGGGUUCCUGUCCAACGUUAAUCGGGGCAGGGUGAGUCGACCCCUAAGGCGAGGCCGAAAGGCGUAGUCGAUGGGAAACAGGUUAAGAUUCCUGUACUUGGUGUUACUGCGAAGGGGGGACGGAGAAGGCUAGGUUAGCCGGGCGACGGUUGUCGCGGUUUAAG